UCUUAGUGGCGGACGGGUGAGUAACGCGUGGAUAACCUGGCCCAUACAGGGGGAUAGCAGCUGGAAACGGCUGGUAAUACCGCAUAAGCGCACGGUACGGCAUCGUACAGUGUGAAAAACUCCGGUGGUAUGGGAUGGGUCCGCGUCUGAUUAGGCAGUUGGCGGGGUAAAGGCCCACCAAACCGACGAUCAGUAGCCGGCCUGAGAGGGUGGGCGGCCACAUUGGGACUGAGACACGGCCCAAACUCCUACGGGAGGCAGCAG
rnacentral:rRNA from 1 species